rnacentral:tRNA from 2 species
AGGCUCUUAGCUCAGUUGGUAGAGCAUCACCUUGACACGGUGGGGGUCAGCGGUUCGAGUCCGCUAGAGCCUACCA